rnacentral:misc_RNA from 1 species
UUCUCUUAAGACCUUGUAUUUUGUAGCGAACAAAGACUUGUAUUAAAAAAAUGACAAAUAUUUUGGAAAAAAAAUAUUACAUUUGUUAUUCACACCAAUCCACAGAUUUUAUGAAUUUUGGAAACCUUCCCGCACGGGUAGGAGAGCUUUGAAUUAGAAUGAGAGGUCCACUACUUGUAUUAGCUGACCAAUUGAGACUUCAGAGGAUGAUAGCAAGUCUGGAGUUAUGCUCACAAGCAAAAUUUGGGGUCAUUUAACUCGAUAUGCACCUUUGUCCAAACACACCAGACAUACCCUUCCAUGUAAAAUUAAAGCUUUUACAUUUCUAA